rnacentral:tRNA from 1 species
GGGGAUUUAGCUCUGUGGUGUAAGCACCUGCCUUGCAAGCAGGUGGUCAUGAUUUUGAUCCCCA